UACAGAGGUCUCAAGCGUUGUUCGGAUUCAUUGGGCGUAAAGGGUGCGUAGGUGGCGCGCUAAGUCAGGUGUGAAAUUUCGGAGCUUAACUCCGAAACUGCAUUUGAUACUGGCGUGCUUGAGGACUGGAGAGGAGACUGGAAUUCCUGGUGUAGCGGUGAAAUGCGCAGAUAUCAGGAGGAACACCGAUGGCGAAGGCAGGUCUCUGGGCCAUAACUGACGCUGAGAAGCGAAAGCAUGGGGAGCGAACAGG
rnacentral:rRNA from 1 species